rnacentral:rRNA from 1 species
UUGAACGCUGGCGGCAUGCCUUACCCAUGCCAGUCGAACGGUAACAGGUUAAGCUGACGAGUGGCGAACGGGUGAGUAAUGUAUCGGAACGUGCCCAGUCGUGGGGGAUAACUGCUCGAAAGAGCAGCUAAUACCGCAUACGACCUGAGGGUGAAAGCGGGGGAUCGCAAGACCUCGCGCGAUUGGAGCGGCCGAUAUCAGAUUAGGUAGUUGGUGAGGUAAAGGCUCACCAAGCCGACGAUCUGUAGCUGGUCUGAGAGGACGACCAGCCACACUGGGACUGAGACACGGCCCAGACUCCUACGGGAGGCAGCAGUGGGGAAUUUUGGACAAUGGGCGCAAGCCUGAUCCAGCCAUGCCGCGUGCGGGAAGAAGGCCUUCGGGUUGUAAACCGCUUUUGUCAGGGAAGAAAAGGUUCUGGCUAAUACCUGGGACUCAUGACGGUACCUGAAGAAUAAGCACCGGCUAACUACGUG